UACGGGGGGGGCAAGCGUUGUUCGGAAUUACUGGGCGUAAAGGGUUUGUAGGUGGCCGAUUAAGUCAUACGUGAAAUCCCUCAGCUUAACUGGGGAACUGCGUCUGAUACUGGUUGGCUUGAGUGCAGGAGAGGAACGCGGAAUUCCCGGUGUAGCGGUGAAAUGCGUAGAGAUCGGGAGGAACACCAGCGGCGAAGGCGGCGACCUGGACAGUAACUGACACUCAACUACGAAAGCGUGGGGAGCAAACAGG
rnacentral:rRNA from 1 species